GGGGGCACCCUGACCGAGCAACGCCGCGUGCGUGAAGAAGGUUUUCGGAUCGUAAAGCUCUGUUGUAAGUCAAGAACGAGAGUGAGAGUGGAAAGUUCACACUGUGACGGUAGCUUACCAGAAAGGGACGGCUAACUACGUGCCAGCAGCCGCGGUAAUACGUAGGUCCCGAGCGUUGUCCGGAUUUAUUGGGCGUAAAGCGAGCGCAGGCGGUUUGAUAAGUCUGAAGUUAAAGGCUGUGGCUCAACCAUAGUUCGCUUUGGAAACUGUCAAACUUGAGUGCAGAAGGGGAGAGUGGAAUUCCAUGUGUAGCGGUGAAAUGCGUAGAUAUAUGGAGGAACACCGGUGGCGAAAGCGGCUCUCUGGUCUGUAACUGACGCUGAGGCUCGAAAGCGUGGGGAGCGAACAGGAUUAGAUACCCUGGUAGUCCACGCCGUAAACGAUGAGUGCUAGGUGUUGGAUCCUUUCCGGGAUUCAGUGCCGCAGCUAACGCAUUAAGCACUCCGCCUGGGGAGUACGACCGCAAGGUUGAAACUCAAAGGAAUUGACGGGGGGCCCGCACAAGCGGUGGAGCAUGUGGUUUAAUUCGAAGCAACGCGAAGAACCUGCCAGGUCUUGACAUCC
rnacentral:rRNA from 1 species